rnacentral:tRNA from 6 species
GGGCGCGUAGCUCAGUGGUAGAGCGCUUGCUUCACACGCAAGAGGUCACAGGUUCGAUACCUGUCGUGCCCACCA